ACUCAAAUGAAUUGACGGGGACCCGCACAAGCGGUGGAGGAUGUGGUUUAAUCCGACGCAACGCGCAGAACCUUACCGAGGUUUGACAUCCCAGGAAAGCCGCCGAAAGGUGGCCGUGCCUUCGGGAACCUGGUGACAGAUGCUGCAUGGCCGUCGUCAGCUCGUGUCGUGAGAUGUUGGGUUAAGUCCCGCAACGAGCGCAACCCUUGUCGUAUGUUGUUUUUUCAUACGAGACUGCCCGGGCCAACCGGGAGGAAGGUGGGGAUGACGUCUGGUCGGCAUGGCUCUUACACCUCGGGCCACACACGUCCUACAAUGGGUAGUACAAUGGGCAGCCAAACCGUAAGGUGGAGCAAAUCCCACCAAAACUACCCCCAGUUCGGAUUGAGGGCUGAAACUCGCCCUCAUGAAGUUGGAAUCGCUAGUAAUGGCAGGUCAGCACACUGCCGUGAAUACGUUCCCGGGUCUUGUACACACCGCCCGU
rnacentral:rRNA from 1 species